UAGGGAAUCUUCCACAAUGGACGAAAGUCUGAUGGAGCAACGCCGCGUGAGUGAAGAAGGGUUUCGGCUCGUAAAACUCUGUUGUUAAAGAAGAACAUAUCUGAGAGUAACUGUUCAGGUAUUGACGGUAUUAACCAGAAAGCCACGGCUAACUACGUGUCAG
rnacentral:rRNA from 1 species